rnacentral:rRNA from 1 species
AUUGAACGCUGGCGGCAUGCUUUACACAUGCAAGUCGAACGGCAGCACGGACUUCGGUCUGGUGGCGAGUGGCGAACGGGUGAGUAAUACAUCGGAACGUACCGCGUAGUGGGGGACAACAAGUCGAAAGAUUUGCUAAUACCGCAUACACUCUGAGGAGAAAAGCAGGGGACCUUCGGGCCUUGUGCUAUGCGAGCGGCCGAUGGCUGAUUAGCUAGUUGGUGGGGUAAAGGCCUACCAAGGCAACGAUCAGUAGCGGGUCUUAGAGGACGAUCCGCCCAACUGGAACUUAGACACGGUCCAGCCUCCUACGGGAGGAAGCAGUGGGGAAUCUUGGACAAUGGGCGCAAGCCUGAUCCAGCAAUGCCGCGUGCGUGAAGAAGGCCUUCGGGUUGUAAAGCGCUUUUGUCAGGGAGCAAAGACUGAUGGCUAAUAUCCAUCGGAGUUGAGAGUACCUGAAGAAUAAGGACCGGCUAACUACGUGCCAGCCGCCGCAGUAACAC